rnacentral:rRNA from 1 species
UACGUAGGCAGCAAGCGUUUGUUCGGAGUUACUGGGCGUAAAGGGUGCGUAGGCGGCUCUGUAAGUAUGGUGUGAAAUCUCCCGGCUUAACUGGGAGGGUGCGCUAUAAGACUGCGGGGCUCGAGUGUGGGAGAGGAAAGUGGAAUUCCUGGUGUAGCGGUGAAAUGCGUAGAUAUCAGGAGGAACACCGGUGGUGUAAACGGCUUUCUGGACCAUAACUGACGCUGAGGCACGGAAAGCGUGGGUAGCAAACAGG